rnacentral:rRNA from 1 species
AGUGAACGCUGGCGGUAGGCCUAACACAUGCAAGUCGAACGGCAGCACAGUAAGAGCUUGCUCUUACGGGUGGCGAGUGGCGGACGGGUGAGGAAUACAUCGGAAUCUACUUUUUCGUGGGGGAUAACGUAGGGAAACUUACGCUAAUACCGCAUACGACCUACGGGUGAAAGCAGGGGAUCUUCGGACCUUGCGCGAUUGAAUGAGCCGAUGUCGGAUUAGCUAGUUGGCGGGGUAAAGGCCCACCAAGGCGACGAUCCGUAGCUGGUCUGUGAGGAUGGUCAGCCACACUGGAACUGAGACACGGUCCAGACUCCUACGGGAGGCAGCAGUGGGGAAUAUUGGACAAUGGGCGCAAGCCUGAUCCAGCCAUACCGCGUGGGUGAAGAAGGCCUUCGGGUUGUAAAGCCCUUUUGUUGGGAAAGAAAAGCAGCAGGUUAAUACCCCGCUGUUCUGACGGUACCCAAAGAAUAAGCACCGGCUAACUUCGUG